rnacentral:rRNA from 1 species
GUGGGGAAUAUUGGACAAUGGGCGAAAGCCUGAUCCAGCCAUGCCGCGUGUGUGAAGAAGGUCUUCGGAUUGUAAAGCACUUUAAGUUGGGAGGAAGGGCAGUAAGUUAAUACCUUGCUGUUUUGACGUUACCGACAGAAUAAGCACCGGCUAACUUCGUGCCAGCAGCCGCGGUAAUACGAAGGGUGCAAGCGUUAAUCGGAAUUACUGGGCGUAAAGCGCGCUUAGGUGGUUUUGUAAGUUGGAGGUGAAAUCCCCGGGCUCAACCUGGGAACUGCCUCCAAAACUGCAUGACUAGAGUACGGUAGAGGGUAGUGGAAUUUCCUGUGUAGCGGUGAAAUGCGUAGAUAUAGGAAGGAACACCAGUGGCGAAGGCGACUACCUGGACUGAUACUGACACUGAGGUGCGAAAGCGUGGGGAGCAAACAGGAUUAGAUACCCGGGUAGUCC